UACAGAGGGUGCAAACGUUGUUCGGAAUUACUGGGCGUAAAGCGCGUGUAGGCGGCCCGGCAAGUCGGAUGUGAAAUCCCACGGCUCAACCGUGGAAGUGCAUUCGAAACUGCAGGGCUAGAGUACUGGAGAGGAAGGUGGAAUGCUCGGUGUAGAGGUGAAAUUCGUAGAUAUCGAGCGGAACACCGGUGGCGAAGGCGGCCUUCUGGACAGUUACUGACGCUGAGACGCGAAAGCGUGGGGAGCAAACAGG
rnacentral:rRNA from 1 species